GUGCUCACUUCAGCAGCACAUCUACAAAACUCGGAAGAUAACAGAAAAGAUUAGCAUGGCCCUUGCACAAGGAAUAGCAUGCAGCCUUCCAUAUUUUU
rnacentral:snRNA from 1 species